GUUUAAGUAGCUCAGUGGGUAGAGCAGUGACCUCAUCAGUCAUUUGUCGCGGGUUCAACUCCCGCCUUAAAAA
rnacentral:tRNA from 1 species